CAGUCGAACGAUGAAGCCAGCUUGCUGGUGGAUUAGUGGCGAACGGGUGAGUAACACGUGGGUGAUCUGCCCCAAACUUUGGGAUAAGCCUGGGAAACUGGGUCUAAUACCGAAUAUGACCGAUACUCGCAUGGGUGUUGGUGGAAAGCUCCGGCGGUUUGGGAUGGGCCCGCGGCCUAUCAGCUUGUUGGUGGGGUAAUGGCCUACCAAGGCGACGACGGGUAGCCGGCCUGAGAGGGCGACCGGCCACACUGGGACUGAGACACGGCCCAGACUCCUACGGGAGGCAGCAGUGGGGAAUAUUGCACAAUGGGCGCAAGCCUGAUGCAGCGACGCCGCGUGAGGGAUGACGGCCUUCGGGUUGUAAACCUCUUUCACCAGGGACGAAGCGAAAGUGACGGUACCUGGAGAAGAAGCACCGGCCAACUACGUGCCAGCAGCCGCGGUAAUACGUAGGGUGCGAGCGUUGUCCGGAAUUACUGGGCGUAAAGAGCUCGUAGGCGGUUUGUCGCGUCGUUCGUGAAAACUUGGGGCUUAACUCCAAGCGUGCGGGCGAUACGGGCAGACUUGAGUACUACAGGGGAGACUGGAAUUCCUGGUGUAGCGGUGAAAUGCGCAGAUAUCAGGAGGAACACCGGUGGCGAAGGCGGGUCUCUGGGUAGUAACUGACGCUGAGGAGCGAAAGCGUGGGUAGCGAACAGGAUUAGAUACCCUGGUAGUCCACGCCGUAAACGGUGGGUACUAGGUGUGGGUUCCUUUUCACGGGAUCCGUGCCGUAGCUAACGCAUUAAGUACCCCGCCUGGGGAGUACGGCCGCAAGGCUAAAACUCAGGAAUUGACGGGGGCCCGCACAAGCGGCGGANCAUGUGGNUUAAUUCGAUGC
rnacentral:rRNA from 1 species